rnacentral:lncRNA from 1 species
AUGCAAAGACAGCUCAAGUUCCAACACAGAGAAAACCAGAGAAGUUCCAAUCCAGCCUCUUCACGGGAUCCUGCUCUGCCUUCAACAGUUUCCAUUCUUUCGGAGAUGGAGCACCCACUCCACGUCAGUGCAAAACAAAGAAACGAAGAACAACCAACCCCUAGCUGUAAACCACCAUCUAGCUUUGACGCCACCUUCCCUCUCAGAAGCUCUUGUGCAACGUGGGCAUGCGAUGAUGGUGCAAAUAUGGGCAACUGUCCUACUGCACUUCAGCAGAGGGUCUCCGACCGACCAAGGCCCUGGGCAGAAGGCACACAGCUCUUAAGAGAUUCUCCCUUUCGAACUGACCACUUCUAUACGCCUCUGCCACGAAUGACUGGUUGUGUCUCAAACACAAACACAACAACAGAAACGAAAAGCAAGAAAGGCAUAGAAAGAGUGGGGGAAAUGGUUUAAAAAAUAAAUAGAAAAAUGUGUGUCCA